UCGAAGGCAGCAGUGGGGAAUAUUGCACAAUGGGCGCAAGCCUGAUGCAGCCAUGCCGCGUGUAUGAAAAAGGCCUUCGGGUUGUAAAGUACUUUCAGUCGUGAGGAAGGUGUUAAGGUUAAUAACCUUAGCAAUUGACGUUAGCGACAGAAGAAGCACCGGCUAACUCCGUGCCAGCAGCCGCGGUAAUACGGAGGGUGCGAGCGUUAAUCGGAAUUACUGGGCGUAAAGGGCACGCAGGCGGUUAAUUAAGUUGGAUGUGAAAUCCCCGGGCUUAACCUGGGAAUGGCAUUCAAGACUGGUUAGCUAGAGUCUUGUAGAGGGGGUAGAAUUCCAUGUGUAGCGGUGAAAUGCGUAGAGAUGUGGAGGAAUACCGGUGGCGAAGGCGGCCCCUGGACAAAGACUGACGCUCAUGUGCGAAAGCGUGGGGAGCAAACAGGGAUUAGAUACC
rnacentral:rRNA from 1 species